CAUAAAGCAGAUGAUGGAAUGAAGGAUGUGGGACACACUGGAAGACUUUGGGAUACAGCAUUCGGAAAAAAAUCAGUGAUAGGGUUUAGCAGGUAAAAUCCAAGUUAACCUGCAUCAAGAGAUGGAAACACUACACCACUGAAGUCAACAGGAAUCUUUCCAUCAAGUUCAAGAAGCUUUGCACCAGGUUAACAAAAGGUGGAGAUGAACCUACGAUGACCUGGUGCAGAAACACUGGGCUGCCUCCAUUCCCUCACCUGCAGCUUCGAUGAGGAACACCAGGAACAGGCCACUGAUUAUGAGGAGUGCUGGGUUGACUGGGAGCCGAGGAAGGCCACGAAGGAGCACCUUUUGCACCAGCUCAGUGCCACAUGUUCCUCCAUAAUAUCUGUCAUGGAGCUCAUAGGCACGUGUAUGGAGCGGUCUACCAGCCACUUCCCCACACCGGCCCCCUCAGCUCCCUGCACAACUCCCCACAUCCCCGCGACUCCCAACACCCACCCUCAGCUUCUCCUCCUGGUCCCUCCAGGGGUUGCCAGGGCCUGAAAACACAUGACUGUGGGACAUCUUGGGCAUCUGCAGCCUCCCAAGGUACCUGAGACAGGCACCAGUCCCAGCC